AGCUUUAGAUGUAAACGCCUAACCUUGUGAGAGUUGCUCAAAUCAGUUGUUUCCAUACAAGCUGUGUCGGUCAGGUUUGGAGUUUUUCUUCCUUAAUAAAGCACAACAACUUGUCACGAAAAACUGGCGAGAAGAUAUGGUCCUGUUCUAAAGACCUUACAAAAUCCGCUGCAUUAUCCACAUUUCCCUGCUUUUCCCAGUAAUUUACACAUGUAGCUAAGGUCUCCUUGCUAGGUUUGUAAUUAGGCGGGCAUAUUGAGAUGGCCUUCUUCAAUGCUUCUACAGCCUCUGGGACUAGAUCUUCAUGUAUGUAUCCAUUUGCCAAGUGACACCAUGUGGUGACCCAUGGAACACCCCCUUUUGAUAUUCCUUUGUCCAUUAGGGCCUUAGCCUUCCCCAGAAGACCAUUUCUACAAUAACUGCGAAUCAAAACGUCUGGAACACGGAAAUCAUAGGACAAAGCUUCCGAUUCCCAUUCCUCAAAGAUCUUCUCAACUCUUUCUGUAUCACCAAAUUUCAUUAAUGCGCUCAUCACACUAAUGUAACCUUUAUUAAGAAUUCUCAUGUUCUGCUUAUACAAAUCCCACACUCGGUGCACCUCUUCUUUCUUUCCAGCUUCAGCAUACAGUUUUAACAAAUCAUUAUAUGCACCAUUACUUUUCUUACGAGUCAAAAUCAUGCUGUCAAGUUUACUCAGCAACUCUAGAGCUUUUUCCACCAGCCCAACUUUCAAAUACAACUCUGCUGCAAUACUGUAAGUAUCCCAGUGCAAAAUGAUUUGCUUAUCAGAUUCCAUCAUCGCUAAUAUUUUAUCCAUCCCCUCAGAAUCUCCAGCAGUGGCAUAUGCAGUUAGCCGUAUCGUGAGCGUGAACUCAUCAAAAGUUACGCCCUUCUGCUCCAUUUCAUUCAUCAGUUUAUCCAUUUUCUCCCAUGUUCCUGUUUUACAAUAGAGGUUCAUCAUAUGGUUGUAGCACAAUGUGCCCUUAGCGAACCCCAUAUCUCUUAGUUGUUGCAUUAUGGCCUCAGCUUUCCCUACAGACUUCUCGUUAGUAUAGCAAUUGAGAAGAGCGGUAUACACCUCAGGGCGUCUCAGUAUCUGCGAAAUGCUAUUGAAGUAUUUUUCAACCUCUUCUAGGCCUUUAACUUUAUAGACUAGGUUAAUUCGUUCUGCAACAUCAGCAACUUGGAGGGGGAGAUAUCUUCUGUCUGUCAUCCAAUGGGACACCUGUUCACAAACUCACAAGGAUGAAAGGGCAAAAUUUAUACAAUCAAGAAUGAAGAUAUAUAAGUAAUUAGCUCAGAUCUUUUCACACCAACAAAUUAGUCUUUGCAAUGCGAGGAGCUAUUUUCUUCAUUCCUAUGCUCGUUAGUUGUUACCUUUGGUUAAAUUAACAAAGUGACCAAAGGCCACAGGAGCAAGGAACCACACAUCUGCAAAUUAUUUUUUCCAAUGAUUAAUCACAACUAGGAAGCAAUCUAUGUACACAACAUUUGUAGCUUAUUAUUUCGAUAAUAUCAACUUGCAUAAACUGAGUAGGCACGAACUUUCUUCUUAAAACGGCAUGGCCUUUUGAGUGGUAUGCCUUAGAUCAUUUGGUGACUUCUAGCAUGCACUUGUACAGAGGCAAAUGUAGCCUUUUGGGUGUGGGCUCAUCUGAACCCAUAAUUUUUCACACAGAUCAUAGAUAUAUGUGUAAGAACUUAUUACAAUUUCAACAAAUAUUAGAUUUGGACCGAUAAUUUUAAUUUACCGUAAAUGGGUUUAGAGCUAAAAAGCUCAAAGAUUCAAACCAUUAAGUUUAAAUCUUCGAUCUGCCUUUGCACUUGUACACAAACGCAACAAAGCUGUCAAAUAAAUCAACUGCACCAACUUAUUUUCUCCACCAGAACCUAAUUUAGUAGGGAUCAAAAUUUCUCCAGCACUGUAUAGGGUGAAAUCCAGGCUAGACAGAUGGCGAAUCAUAAGUUGUCAGGCAGAAGCGACAAGCUUGAGUCGGCAUGAAGUCAUUUAGAGAAGUCGGCAAGGAACAGGUAAGUCAUCUGGAUACGAUGCUACGUGUGGAAGCCAUCUAGCUCCGGAGACGUGGUACCAGGUACGAAGUGCAGACCGGAUUACACUUAUUCAAAUAUUCAACCGUUACACAAGAUCCCUAUCAUUACUCAAUGAUGAUAAUGAGCAGCUAUUAGGGUUUUAAGAGAACAUAUUUUGUGGAUCUUAGCCCUUGAUGCUUAGCUAUAUAUAGGGCCUUACUUCCCUGUUAGAGAGGAUCCAAAUUUCACGUCACACUGGUACUACACUAUAAUUCACUAAGCUCUCAAAUUCAUAACACAUAGCUGGUAUACUUUCCGGCAUUGUUAUCACCAUCUUCCUCGAAGCUCAGGCUAAUUCAAUCUUUUAUUUUAGGGAAAAAGGACAGAUAUACCCCGAACUAUCAUAAAUGGUAUGCAAAUAGUCCUGUCAUACUUUUGGGACAUUGAUGUCUGCCGUCCAAAAACUAGAGCAUACAGACCCUUUAUACUAACGGACGGACAUAGACGUGUCAUAAUCUUAUCCACCGAUCCGACAUUUAUCGACGGAUAAGAUAGCGUCACGAGGCCUUAUUUAGUCUUCCAUUAGAGUGAAGGGCAUAUAUGCUCUAAUUUAUGAACGAUAGGGGAACCACUGUCCCAAAAGUAUGACGGAGGAUAUCUGCAUACCAUUUACGAUAGUUGAGGGGUAUACUUGUCCUUUUUUUCCUUUAUUUUAACUCAUAACAAGUUAGUUCAUUACAAUUUAACCAUUUGGUCAAUACAACUCAUGUGUAAUACCUAAUUCAUAUUAGAGACAUAUUUGCUGUAGCAACUGAUUCGGAUUAAGGGCUUAGGUUCGUGCCAUCCAUUUGAGUUCAUGUUUGUAUCAUUUGCUUAAGAAAAGAGAGAACACAAACAGUUUCUUUCACAAUGCAUAGUAUCAAAACUCACUAAACAACCAAAAAAAACAGAAAUAAAGUACCUCAAGGGCAUGUUUGUAUCUUUUAUAGCUGUUUAAUCUUUUGAUAAUCCACUGAAGCUCUCCUUUCGCCACUGUUUUCCCUUCUUCAACCCAUUGUUCUAGUACUGGAACCAUAGACAUAUCUGGGCUGCCUAAAGGUGCAAUUCUUGCGAAAACCCAAUCACGCUUCUUAUAUUUAGUAGAUGUUGUUCCAUAGAAACGGUUGAUCAUUGUUCUCUGAAAAUGCAUUGGAAUUUGUUUACAUAAGGCAGAGAAAGAAAGCUUCAUUUGGAGAAGACGAAGAAGAAAUCAAUUUGGGGGGUUUUAGGCGGGUUUAAGAAGCUUUGUAUGACCCGAUCCAUUUGAAAUUUAGCCCAAAUGAGAAGGAAUGUAAAUUUUGUAGUCCAGCUUAUUUCAAGCCCAAUAAAUACUGGGCCAAGAAACUUGUCUUGUCCCUUUUUUGGGGGGGAAAUUGGCAAAAAUAGCCACUUUUGUAUUUAGCUACUUUUUGACAAUUUUUUGUUUUAUGACAAAACUCAAAAGUAAACUUAUUACUUGAGAAAGUACUUAAAACACUUUUAAAUUUGACACGAAUUAUAAGUUUUAUCCUUGAAUUAAUGACAAGUUUAAUAACACUCAUUUAUUUGAUUAACGGAACUUAAAUAUAUUUACGAUCUUUCACAUAACAUAGCAAGUGAUUUCAAACUCUUGUAAGAGCAUGAUAUACUCUUCAUAAAAAGUCGACAGAAGUGUUAAAAAUACCCCAAGUGUAUUGACAGUCUUAGAGAUAUUUUCAAUAGGUCUCUCUGAAAUAUAUAGAAAACACUAGUAUGGUCAAAGCUUAUGCUCAAAUUUUAAAAUUUUAAAGGUAAUUCAAUGUAUAAUAAUAAAGUUCCAAUCCAGCUUUUUUUUUUUUUUUAUAAAAAAAUCAAUUCAUAGCUGGACUAGUACAAAUUCUCGUAGAUAACUAUGAAGUUUGAGCUUCGACACGUGAAUUAGUCUUUUAGUUCAAUAAAAUGAAACAUGGGUGAUCUUCAAUUUUUGAACAAAAUAUGUGUAGCAUGAGUGUUUAAUCGAUUGAUCCUAAUAAUAAAUCGAAGGUUAUCAUGUCAAGUAUUGUUUGAGGGUCACGAUAUCAAGCUUUUACAAAUAAUUUAAUUAAGCUAUAUUUGAAAUUUUUUUAAUAUAAAAUUAAAUUAAAGUAUAUUGAAUACUUAAAAUUGAUUGAUCGUAAUAUCUAUUUAUUACGUUGAAUUUUUUAUAUAAAUAAUGAAAUAACAAAUCAAAAUAGGACAAAUGUAUAAUAUAACAUAGCAUGUGUAUGAUAACUAAAUAGGAAAAAUAAUCUUUUUUAUAGACACAACUUGAAGAAAUUUAUGUACCAUGAUGGGAAAUCAAAGAACUUAGGGAAAAGCCAUAAAUUUACCUUUUAAUUUAUAGUGAAAAGUCAGUUACACGUUUAAAAUAUUAUGGCGACCUAUUACACAAUUAUUCUUGAUAAAAGUUUAACUAAUACCAUCCUAAAACUGAUGUGAAAAUAAAAUAAAAUUAAAAAGUAAAUUAGGCGCAUUUAAAUCAAAAUAAAGUAAAAAAUAUAUUGUUCUUUUUUACCUCCACGCCCCUCUAUUUCUUUUAGACUUCUUCUUCAUUUUUUUUUCUUAUCUAAACUCUAUAAUUUCUCACUCAAUAUCAUUAUUCUUAAGAAUUCUUCACUAAUUUAACUCAUACUUAAUUGAGCAAAGUUACUCACCAAAAAAGAUAAUUUUCUAAUCUAAAUUUUACAUAAUCAUUAGUAUUAAAAGAACAUUAAAGAGUCAAACCCUAAAUUCCUAAAUAUUUCUAACAAGAAAAGUUAAUUGCUCCUCACCCCCACUUAUCAAGAUUAUCAAGUAUACAUAGCGCUGCAAAUUUGAUAGAACGAGGAUUUUGGAUUCAAUAAAUUUUUUAUACAUAGCAAAAUCAAAAUUGACUCGACAAUAUAAAAAUUGAUCAAUAUCAAUCUAAAAUAUUUAUUUCAAAUUUCACAAUCCAUUACCAUCAAACACUACUAACUAAAAAGAAAUUUUAAAAUUAACAUUACCAAUUAAAGUUCAUUUGACCCAUAUUUGAAAAACCCAAAAGAAAGAAAGGUGUUUAUAAGAAGCUGAGAAAUAUAAGUGUCGUAUCCAAAAUUAACGUCAAUGACGAUGAAAAGUGGGACAAAACUAUAUUGUAUAAUAAUUUUGACUUAAUUUGCUAUCCAUGCCCCCCAUUUCUUCACGAAUUUUUUAAUCAUAUUUGUUACUCCGUCGAUCUUAAUUGGCAUAAUAGUUUAUUUAAUAUGUUUUAUAAUUAGAAGAAAGGAUUGAAAAUGUAGUUAUUCAGGAUAAAAAGAAGAGAAAAGAAUAAAGAUAAAAAUGGUGUCAUUCAUGUAAGGAAGAAGAGAAAAGACAGAGGUAAAAUGGUUAGGAAAAAGGUGAAAAAAUGAAGAGAGAAGAUACAAUCAAAAUCGGUUAGUAAAAAAAGUGAAAAAAUUAAAAAAUUAUACGUGUAUUCUUGCACAUUAUCUGGCAGACGAGUGCACACAACUUUAAUAAAUGUGACUGAUUUUGUACAUUAGGAGGUGAUAUUAGUUGCAUUUUUAACAAGAAUAAGUGUGUAAUAUAUCGCUAUAAUACUUUAAACGUAUAAAUAACUUUUGAGUACAAAUUUAAGAAACUAUUUGCGUAUUUUCUCAAAAACUUACUUUAAAGAAUGUGAGAUGAAGACGUUUGAAACAAAAAACAAAAAUAAUUACACAUGCAAACAUGGGCUCUAUACUCUAAAUUCCAACUAAACAGAUUUAAUUAGAGUCAAAUCAAGUCAGUUAACAAACUAACUUUGAUAUAAAUAAAAUGAAACAAAAUAUAUAUAAAAAGCUGCACUUUCCUAUAUUUGAUUUGUUUAAUUUUGAUACUUAGAACUUUUUCCUAAUCAAACCAACAAGUCAAAGGCAUCUCAUCGCUUAUUAUAAAGUUUAUAAUAAUAUAUUUAUUUAGUAUUACGCUAAUAAAAAGAUGAUAUCUAGUUUAUGCGUAAAAAGUACAUAAUAUUUUUUUGGUUUAAUUUGAAAUUAUAUGAUUCUAUUAUUGAACUUAACCUUGGAAAAAUAUACAAUACAUGAAAAUUGAUUUUCCAAGUAUUCUUCAAUUGUGAUUGUUCAUCUGAUUUUUAGGUAAACAGAGAGUUUUGAAUUUGUUGAAGGUCAAAUAUACUCUAUUCAAAAAUACUACGUAAUUGUUCAUCGCAUGUUAUUCAUUACCAAAAAUAGAAAAAGUAAAAAAAAAGUUUUUAAAACAUCCAAAAAAAAAACAUAUCAAGUUAUCAACUAAAGAGUUUGAAUUUUUUGAAACAUAUUCAAAUAUUAAAAGUAAAAAUAGAAGAAAAAAUAAACGUAUUUCAAAAAACAUACCAACUACUUAUUUGGUAAAAAAGAAAAAUAAAUAUUAAUUUAUAAAUAUUUGUAUGUAACCUAAACAAAAGAUUAUGAAAAAUUAUAUGAAUAGUGGUGAAAAAAUCUAUGACGAUAUAUGAAAUUGAGGUAUGCUUAGUACUUAUAAAACCUGUUUUUUCUAUUUUCGCUAAAUGUAUCAUGCUCCUCUUUUUUAGCAAUUUGUUUUCUUUAAAAAAAUAAUUUUUAAAUUUUUUAUCAAUCAAACAUAAAAAAAAUGUCAAAAAUAAUGAAGAUUGCUAUUAAUUCAAGAAGAAUUUUAUUUACACAAAAGCAUCAAAUGAUAUACGGUUGAAAUAUGUGUCAUGCCGUGCGUGCACAAACAUAGUGCUCUGGAAAAUAUUACUUUUGGAUUUGCAAUAAAAAUUGAAUAAAUACUUUUGAAUAAAGUGACAUUAUUCUUUUAGACUAUUAAAGAAUGACAAAAGUCUCAUAUUGGUAGUUAAUGAGAUAGGUAGACUCCUUAUAAAACUUGGACAAUCCUUCUUGCUUUGAACUAACUUUUGGAGUGUGAAUUAGGCUUAAGACCAAAUUUCACAUGGUAUCAUAGCAGAGCCCGUCUCGGGUGUUAAAAAAUGACAAAAGUCUUACAUUGAUGGUUAAUGAGAUAGUCUCGAGUAUUAAAGAAUGACAAAAGUCCCACAUCGAUGGUUAAUAAGAUGGUAGACUCCUUAUAAACCUUGGACAAUCCUCCACAAACACUUCCACUUCCUUUUCACAAUUUUUUGUACUCCAAUAAAUUUCUCUUUUUAAUAGUAUACAAUUUAAUUUUAGAUUUUGUGAAAUAAUUUAUAUUUAUACAAAUAUAUGAUAUUUUACAUUAUAAAUAUAUAUUCUUAAUUUAUAUAAAAGUAAAAUACUUUUGAAUAAAGUGACAUUACUCUUCCAGGCUAUUAAAGAAUGACAAAAGUUUCAUAUCAGUAGUUAAUGAGAUGAGUAGACUUCUUAUAAGGAUGGGACAAUCCUCCUCCCUUUGAGCUAGCUUUUGGGGUGUGAGUUAGGCCUAAAACCUAAUUUCACAUAGUAUUAUAGCAGGAUCUGUCUCGAAUAUUAAAGAAUGACAAAAACUCCUUAUACCUUUUCACAAUUUUUGGUACUCCAAUAAAUUUAUCUUUUUAAUAGUAUACAAUUUAAUUUUAGAUUUUGUGAUAUUUUACAUUAUAAAUAUAUAUUUUUAAUUUAUAUAAAACUAAAAUACUUUGAAACAUUACAUAGCACACGACAACAAUAUGAUAAGAUAUGGUAUGUUUGAAGAAUGAGUACUGGUCUUUGACGUUACGUUAAAAGAAAUUCUAAUUAGACAAAUGUGUCCAAAGUCCAUGUAUCUUUGGCUUAUUAUUAUAUUCAAAAAUCAUGAAACUUCUACACAUAUUCUAUAGUCUAACAUAAUUAUCAUAUAUAUCUCCAUCACCACAAAAAGAUAAAAAUAUCCACUGAUUGAAUAUUUUGUUGUCUAUACAACUAAAAUAAUGUUUGCAUGCACUUGACAGAGAAGCUUUUAAGUACCUUUAAUUAGAGGGCCAGAGAAAAUCUUCUUGAAUUUAAAGUUAUCACUUUGAAAUUGACCUCAUAGAUUUAAAUUUAAUUGAGAGUUUAAUACGAAUUCAAAUAUCAAUAAAUAAAAAAGAGAAAAUUAUAUAAUUAAUUUAAAAUAAUAUAACAUCAAAAAACCCUACCAUUUAAAUUAAUCAUGAAAAAAUCCUUUAUUCUUCUCUCUUAAUAUAAUAUAUACAUUCCACCUCUGUCACAUAAAUUAUAAGUUUGUUUACGUACCAGUACAAAUGUCAUUAUUGAUGCAAAAUCUCAAAUAUUUCAAACCUAAAUCAGUAUGAAUAUGAUUUAUAGUAAUGCAUUUGAUAUAUAACUUAUAUAUCUAAUACAUUACUUUUGUAUCAUUUUCUAUUGUAUCGAGCAAAGAAGCAAUAUAUCAGUGAGUUUUUAAUAAACUUGAGGUUAUUGUAAUUUAAGAAACUAUCCAAUAUAAUACGGUUAACGUCCAAAUUGUUGAGAUUUCUACACUCUAUACUCCCUCACUUUAAAAAAGAAUAAUCUUAUUUCCUUUUUAGUUUGUUUAAAAAAGAACGACCUCUUCUUUUUUUUUUUAGCAAACCUUUAACUUUAAAUUUUCACGUGACAUAUUUAAGGCAACAAAAUUAAAAAAUAUUUUAGUAUAUUUAUCAUAACUUUAAUUUAUAUUUUUAAAACAGGGAAGCCCACCAAAAGCGAUAAAAUAGAACAAAACGUGCCCGGCCCCUUUUAAAAUCUUUCAAUCAUACAUAUUACACGUUUUUAUUAUAAAUAGAACAAGCAGCACUACACCCUUUUGGUUGCUCAACAAAAUACCAUUAAUAUAUUGCUAUGGCCACAGAUGAUAAUCGGAAUAUCCAUCGGAAAAUCGGACGGUCGACGACGAGAACCAAGUGUCCGGCGCCGUUCUUAUCGAAAACUUACGAUCUUUUGGAGGAGCAAGAAGAAGAAAAUAGUAAUCGUAAUAUUAAGGUUGUUUCAUGGAAUGGUGAAGGAAAUGGAUUUGUUGUGUGGUGUCCAGAUGAGUUUUCUGAGGUUAUGUUACCUAAAUACUUCAAGCACAACAAUUUCUCUAGUUUCAUUCGUCAACUUAAUACCUACGUAAGUCUCGAUCUAUAUCUUCUUUCUGUCUCGAUUUGUUUCACUUACUUUUCGUUUUAAUUAAUAAGUGGAAUCACGGUUGUGAAACCAUAAUAUUUCGGCAAAUAAUAAGGUGAAAGAUAAUACAAAUGUACCUUAUGGUUUAAAAAAAAAAAACCUAAAAUUAGUCCCUUCAAUCAUAGGCCCAAAGAUAUGUUAUUUCAAAUUUUCAACCAAUUGACUCAAUGGUAUAUGACAUGUAUUUGUUGGUAAUUGGUUUGAUAAUUUUGCUGUGGAGUUAGUCUACAUUGGUGGCCUAAAGUAAAUUUAUUAAGCAAUUAUAUUAGCAAAAUUGUAGUCCAUUUGAUAAACUUCUUGUUGUGUGAUCUCCACUAAUUUAUUUUUGAAAAAAAUCACAUAAUUAAUUGCUGUCAAAUUGGCCUACCUAUAUAUUUUGCACCGCCCUUUAAUUUUAGUUUAUCACUAAAUAUUUAUUUAUUGCUGAGUUUAUAUUUUUACAUUAUAAUACACAUUUUUUAAAAACUUAUGUCCCCGUUAGAUACUUCUUUCGUCUCAUUUUAUAUUUUCUACAAAUAGUUGAUCCAUUUUAUCUUUCAUUUUAUAAAAAUCAAUGCAUAAAUUAUUAUAUCGUUUCUUUUUUACCCUUGUGAGUUAUUAGCCUUGAAAAUACAUGUUUGACCAAUUUAGAAAAAAACUUAAAUAAAUGAUUCAUAUUCAUUGAUUGAAAAUUUGAGUUCCAAGAAAAUAAAAUAAGGAUAGAAAGAUAAAAUUACAUCAUUUCUUAAUACAGGUGCAAAGUAAAAAUGUGAUAUACAAAAUCAAAAUUGAAAAUCACCUCAUUUUUUAAAGUAUAAACGUGGAAUUACAUGAAAAUCUUUGGUGGUCUUUGUCCAAAAAAGCUUCCAAAUAUUUAUUUUGGAAAGAUCGUGAAAAAAUAUUCUAAACUUUUCAUUUCAUAUUUGUCAAAAUUUUGGUCUAUAGUGACAUACAUCUCUUGGUGACUAAAAUGGUAGUCAAAUUGGUUGAAAGCCAAAACCGAUCAACAAAAUCAUCCUACUCCAAAGUCAAUUUUUGAUGACAUCUUGUCCUGCUAUGGUUUCGUGAUGAACUUAUUUUGACAAUAAAAUAGAAUACACUAUUUCAUUUACAAUCCUUUUGACUUUUCGAUAAAAAUCUCACGCACUGUCAAGAUUUUGAAAUUCGUUUAUACGAUUCACAUGAUCUUUUUUUGAAAGCGAGUUUUUAAAGCUUACUUUCUGCUAUAAAUUAUAGGGUAACUCAAGAUCAGAACUUUAUUUAUUUAAGUCUUACGCAUAAUAUAUUAACGCGCACUUUAAAAGGCAGAAUAAAGCGGUGGGUUGAUUUUUAAAGUAGAGUGUGGAAGUGAAACUCACCCUUUUAUUACUACACCAAAAAUGAUCAUUAGUGACAAUUAAUUCAUAAUGACCGCUAAAUAUGUAUUUUUAGUGGCAAUUGUCAUUUUUUGUAUAUGUCCCUAAAGCCUUUAGCGACAUUCAUUCUAAUGACACUUAACUAAUGCUGGUAAAGACUUAAACACUCUUUAUUAAUGUCAAUAUUUAAUGCCGCUAAAAGUUAUUUUUAUUAUAGUGUUUCUUGAUGUUAGACUUUUACAAUCUCGUCUUUUAUUUUAUAUUAGAUUUCUACGAACUUGAUAGAAAAUCAAAUAACUUUUAUUUGUGUAUUUAUUUGAUUAAAUUUAUGUAUUUAAAUUUAUAUAGGGAUUCAAGAAAGUAGCAUCAAAACGUUGGGAAUUUCAUCAUGGAAAGUUCCAGAAAGGGUGUAGACAUUUGCUAGCAGAAAUAACAAGAAAGAAAUGUGAGCCAAGUGUAUUUCCUACAUACUUAAAUCCUUCUAAAAAGAGCACAUUAUUAUUAGCUACAAAUAAUAAUGAUCAAGAGAAUACAAUUACAAGGCAACUUCUCAUGGAAGAGAAUCAAAACUUGAAAAAGGAAAGAAUGGAAUUGCAAAUGCAAAUUGCACAUUUCAAAACAUUGGAAAUGAAGUUGUUGCAAUGCCUUUCUCAAUGUGUGGAAAAUCCACAUAACAAAACUAGAAGGUUGUUUUAGAUUGAUACGAGUGUUUUGUAUAUCAAACUGUUUUUUUUCUCUUUCUGAAUUAUAUAUGUAUAAUUAUAUAUCCUAGCCACAACCUUAUUUACUCUAUCUUUAGAUGACUGAACUAUUUUUUUCUUUUUUCCAAGAAGGGGAGUAAGGGAGAAAAUAAUUAAACCCCCUCCCAUGCAACCCCAAAUCUCAAUAUAGUUAUGAUUUUUAUUUGGUAUGUUGCAUAUUUAGAUAGUUAAUUUGAUUAAUAUUUUAAGUUAAUUAGAUUAUAUUAAUUUGAUAUGUUAAAUAAAAAAUUUAGAUAUUCAAAACUAUAUGAAAAGUACUAUAAUAAAUUGUAAUUUUUCGCAUAUCAAUAUGAUUGAAAAAAUACUGUUAGUUAAAUUUUUUAUAUAAUUUGAUUUUAAAAAAAGAAAUUAUGAUAAUGAAAAGUGGACAGUGAUAUUAAUUAACAAAAUUGAGAGUUGAACCUUUCAAGUCUUGCACAAAUUAAUUAGUUGUUCUAGUCGUAAGUUAAUAUAUUCGUUUCAAAACAUUGAUUAAUUCUAGAACUAAAAUUUCCAAAAGAAGAACUUAACAUCUAACGUUAAUUUAAAGCCAAUUUAUUCCUUUGGAAAUUCUUGCAUUUUUUCUGACUAGAAUUAAGAGAUUUGACUUUUAUUAAUAUCAACCUUAAUUUCUAAUUAGGUGAUUGCUUUUGGAAAAAAUCUUUUUGGCCAGAAUGAGAUUUUUUUUAUGUAAUUUUAUUAAAUAUUUUUACCCUUUUAUUUUUAAUACCUUAUACUAAAAAAUGAAAAAAAGUCAAUUUAUUUUUAUAAUAAUAAAAAUUAUAAUUUUUAAAAUUUUCUGAUCAUUUACACUUGUUUGCUUUUAUUAUCAAGUUUAUUUUUUUCUUGGCCACAGUCUAAAUUGACUACUUAUAACUUCAAUUAAUUGAUCGGAAGAAAUGCAAGAGUGUAGGUGAGAAGUAAAUCAUUUGUAGAACUAUGAUUAUAUCAAUACGCAAACGCAACUUAAAUUGAUACUAGUAGUCAUAUUAUCGUAAAAGUUUCUUUAAGGAAAGUUGAGUUUAGUUUGAGACGUGUCGAGAAUAUUAUUGUUAAGAAUAUUUUAUUUAGAUAAUGAAUAAUAUGUUAUAAGACGUAUUUUUUUGAAAUUAAUCAAUUUUUUUUGAAAAUUAACUGAGAGCAGAAAUAACAGAUUUCAAGAAAGAAAAUUUAAUUUUACUUUAGAUAAGAGAAAUAGAUAUAAAAAGUUAUAGAUGUUUCUCCUACUACUAGUUAAUGAUUUGUAAUAAUUAAAUUGACUACAUUAAAUAUCGUAAAUUCAAACUAUUCGAUAAAACUUUUGAAGGGUCAAGAUACUUAUUUUUAAAAAUUAAGGCAUUUAGCCAAGCUUUUCGCCAAACAAGGAGUGUUAAUUUUUCCAAAUAUCACAAUUAAUUUAAAUUUAAAAAGUAGCUGGAGUUGUAUAUUUUCAGAAAUUGAAGGGUGAAUAUGCAAUUAAUGGAACUUCCUUUCGUCCUUCUCCUAAACCCCGCGUAAAAACUCCCUAAAACCCUAAUCACAGUGCUUCACAGAGCAGGAAUUUUUGCCCCAAAUUUCACCGGAAAAUGCAAGUGAAUCGCCGGAUUAUCCAAGCCCUAACCGGAAUUACUAAUCGAUUUUACCAUUCCGACAAGCCGAAGAAAGUGUCACUCUACUCUAAAAUAAGUCCACUGGGAAACCCUAGCUGUAGUGUAACCAAUGAACUAGAUGAAUGGGUUUGCAAGGGCAAUAAAAUCCGAUUCGCGGAGAUUCAACGCAUCAUUCUUGAUCUUCGUAAACGCAAACGCUUCAGUCAGGCCCUGGAGGUACCACCUAUCAGUUCUUACUUCUUUUUGAAAGUAAAAAAAAAAAUUGCUUUUUCUGUUUAUUGUUUUUAUUUUGUUGAAACCUUUGCAGCUAAUUGAAAUACUAGAAAUAGAGUAAUCUACUUUUCUGUUAUUGGAGUUGUGGAAUUGGUGAAGCUGCUCAAGUGUUAGUAAUAAUUUAGGACUUGUUUUUAUGAUUGAUGAUGCCCAGAGCGGUCCAGUUUGUGUGUGCUUGGACUAUUCCACGGGUACCUGCUACCUCCAUUCGUAUAUGACCCUAAGACCUCAGGGCGAUCAUUUGGGGUGGUGGUGGUGGUGGUAGGGUUCAUCAAUGUUACUCAUUUAUCAGAUUCUUCUGUUUCAGCAUGUAUAUGUGUUCUUUGUCCUGACUGAAUGGAUGUUAAUUGUUGAGCAGGCUUCCGAAUGGUUGAAGAUUUCUGGUAUUUUCACUUUUUCAUCAACUGAACAUGCAGUACAACUGGAUCUGAUUGGUAGGGUUCAUGGGUUUCCUGAUGCUGAAAGCUACUUCAAUAACUUGAGCAAAGAAGAUAAGAAUGAUAAGACAUAUGGUGCUCUUCUACAUUGUUAUGUUCGCCAGUGCCAAAUGGAAAAGGCAUUGACACAUCUGCGGAAGAUGGAGGAGGAGGGUGUCUCUCUAUCUUCUGUGGCCUUCAACGAUAUAAUGUCACUGUACACGAGAACUGGUGAGUAUGAAAGGAUCCCUGAAAUGCUACACCAUAUGAAGGAAAUUGGGGUCCAACCUAACAAUUUAAGUUACAGAAUCUGUAUCAAUUCGUAUGGAGCAAGAUCAGAUAUUGAGGGGAUGGAGAGGGUCUUAAAUGAAAUGGAGAAUCAAUCCUUCAUUGUCAUGGACUGGAACACCUAUGCUGCUGUGGCAAAUACAUAUGUUAAAGAAGGCCUAAAUGAUAAAGCAAACAGUUUCCUCAAGAAAGCGGAGGAGAAGAUCGAUAAUAAAGAAGGGAUUGGGUAUAACUACCUCAUCUCUGUACAUUCUAAACUAGGAAACAAAGAUGAAGUCAUAAGAUUAUGGUUUCUCGAGAAGAGUGCUCUAAAGAGGUGCAUAAAUCGGGAUUAUAUAAAUAUGUUAGAAGCUUUUGUGAGACUUGAUUCACUUGAAGAAGCGGAGCAGUUGCUCAAAGAGUGGGAGACAUCUGGUAACUGUUAUGAUAUCAGAGUGCCAUACAUAGUCAUUAUAGGGUAUAUGGAUAAACAGCUAUAUGAAAAGGCAGAGACCAUGCUUGAAGAUAUAUCUACAAAAGGGAAGAUACUAACACCAAAUAUUUGGGGGAGGCUGGCGGCAGGCUACCUAGAUAAAGAUAAGUUUGAGAGGGCUGUGAAAUGCAUGAAAGUUGCUCUUUCCUUGAAGAAGGAUAGAAAAGGAUGGAAGCCUGACCCUAAGGUCAUCAUGAGAAUACUCAGUUUGUUUGCGGAGAAUGGCAAUGUGAAUGACGCUGAAUCAUUUUUUCACUCACUGAGGCCCAUUGUCGCUGUAAACAGAGAGAUGUAUCAUGCCUUACUAAAAUCAUAUAUAGCAGGUGGUAAAGAAGUUGAAAGCCUUCUAAACAAUAUGAGAGAUGAUAACAUUGACGAAAAUGAAGAAACAAAAGUGAUACUUGGAAUAAACCAAUGAGGUUCGAAAAGUUACAUAUUCUGUAGGAAUUUCUUCAAUUGUCAAUUCUAGAUAACUGUUUAGUCUAGUCAUGGACAUGUGUUUCUCCAGGCUUGCCAUGUUCAUAACAGUUUAUGCCGAUCCUUUGUUUUUCCUCCUUCCAUAGUUCUUGGUUUGUUUUCUUCUCCUCAUAAUGUUGUCCAUUCCCUUGAAAAUCAUUGCCAAGUCUUUCUGAUUUUCUUCAUCAUUAUCUAACUCAUUUUCUAUUUCCUCAAAGAAGGUUUUGAAUAUACAACAUUCAAUCUCUUUCUUUCCCUUCCAUGGUUUUGAAGACAAGUUUUCUUGUAAACGAUAAGCUUGAUUCGAAGUUCAUCAUAUGACAUUUGAACCAGACUUUCAUAUUCCAUUGCAUCAACAAAAGGUUUCCACUCUCUAGGCAAAAUCCUCAGAAAUUUUUCUGACAUGUUCAUCACUAGAGUAGGAUCUCCCUAAAGCCCUGAGAUCUCUAAGAAUUUUAUUAAUCCUCCCGAACAUGUCUUUAAUGGUUUCAUCUUCUUCCAUCAAGAAAGUAUCAUACUCAUGAAUCAGUUGAUACAUCCGACCUUCCUUUAUUUUCUGUGGAUUAUCUCCAACUUCUCCCACAUUUCCUUUGCAGUCUUACAUCUAUAGGUGUUUUUGAACUCUUCCAUGCUCAAAGCACAGUAAAGUAUGUGUUUGGCUCUAGCAUUGGUUUGCAGGUCAUCCAUUUGUUCUCUUGUAUAGGAUGCCUCGUCGUCAUGUUCCUUUCCUUCCUGAUCACCAGGAAUUGGUAGUGGUCCGUUCUGUAUGAUUAGCCAUGAUUGAAGGUCAACUGAUUGCACAUACACACUCAUUCUAGCCUUCCAAUGACGAUAAUGUUUUCCAUCGAAGUAUUGUGGCCUUGAAUCUUCUUCUUCUGGUUGAAUAUAUCCUUCUGCAAUGUGAUAACUAGCCAUUGGUGUUUUCUCACUUUCUGCUAUGCAAAAACAAACUUGUGAGAGGCUUAAGAAAAUAUGCUGGAACAUAAGUCGAAUGUUCCAAUGGCAGUCACAAUUAUAUUAUAUAUAUAUACAAAAUAUGAUUUUAAAUUGGAAAAAUUAUGUGGUUAAGCAAUCUUAUACUACUUAAUCAGUAGUUAUAUCUAUAGUUUGCUAUAAUUUUCACUCACGACUAACAUUAUAUAUUAAUUAUGUAGGCUGACUUCGAGUUUGUAUAAUUUGUCACAUUUGUAUGUAUAAAAUAUACAAAUAUAUAUGUAUAGUAUAUAGUUAUUUAAUCAGUAUACAUCUACAAUUGACAUCUCUCCUAUUCUGUGACCUCCCUCGCUCGCCUCUCUCCUCCUUUUUACUAUCUCACUUGCCUCUCUCCUCUCUCUCACAAUCGUGCUUGUUUUUUAUACAAAUGAAUAUUAUAAUAUACAAUUAUCUAACCAAUAUACAUAUAUCAUUCAUCUCUCUCCCAAUUUCGCUCGCCCACUCUCUGCUCUCUCUCGCUUGCCUCUCUCCUAAUCUCUUAAAUUCACUUGCCAUAUAUAUAAGUACAUAUGCAUAAUAUACAAUUAUCUAAUCAAUAUACAUAUAUAAUUUACUUCUCUUCCAUUUUUACCCCCUCUCUCGCCUAUUAUACAAUGUUAUCACUGCAUAAACUAAUUUUAAUCAAAACAUAUAAAAAUACUUGCGUCUUUGAAGUGAUGAAAUAUGUUUUCUCGUCGAGCAGAUUGUUUUAUUUUUUGACGGAAGCAGCUCUUUAUAUAGCCCAUGUUACAAAAAACUUGGAAAAAUUACAUAAAUAAAUAUGUUUUUAAAAAUAAUUACUGAUUUUAGUGAUAUUUUUUGUUUAUUACCAUUUAUAGCAAUAUUGUGAUAAAUCUGUCAUAUGUAUUAAAAGUGAAUUACGUAUUCAAUAUAUUUGAAUUAUAAUUGUUUUUGAAAUAUAUUAUAUUUGUUUGGUAAAAAAUUAUCAUAUUGCAUUAUAAGUGUAUUAAAAUGUGUGAUAAAUAUAUUAUCCAUCAUUAAAACUUGUAUUAUGAAUAAUAAAUUUAUCUUUUGUAAUAUGUAUUAAACUUAUAUUAUAAAUGAAUUAAAAGUGGUCAAGUGAAAAAAUAAAAUGUUAUUGCUACAAAAGAUAAAUAUUUUUUUUUACUAUAGUAUAUUUAUGUAAGUUUCUAUAAAAACUUUACCAAAAUAAUUAGGUUUCCUUUUAAAAUAUUCUCAUAGUCUCAGUUUCAUUUAGUAAGUUACCGGUAAUAAUACACCACAUAUUCGCAAGGGAAGGGACAUAACAAAUUAGUGAUGUAUUAAAAAAUAUACAUCAUAUGAAAGCUUUUUAGAUUUGGUUCAACACAAGUGUAAUCUUUUAAAAAGAUCAAGGAAGUAUUAGUUUUCGAUAAACCAUCGAGAAGUUAUGCUAACACACUGAAUAAAUAUCAAACUCAGGACUCACACAAAUAUAGAGACUAGAGUAACAGCAACCAUCUCUAAAUGUGCUGCUCUCAUAACAUGAAAUUCUUGUUCAAAUACCAUCAAAAUCACGUCGACACAACAUGUAAGGCCUCACAGCUAACAUGUUAUGUCUGAUACGCGCAACCUGGACUGGUGGGGGGUUCUUCUAUUCAGAUAAUGUUGACUUCAAUUCACCCCCGCUAUGUAAUUCCAGCACGAUAUCACAUCCUCCUACAAGUUCGCCUUUGUAAUACAGCUGUGGAUAAGUUGGCCAGUUAGAGAAGGUCUUCAGUCCCUGCCUUACUUCUUCGUCGGAUAGAAUAUCAAAGGAUCCAAAAUCAACCCCUUCCUCCUUCAAGGCAUUUACCACCUUGGAGCUGAAACCACAUCUUGGAGAAUCUGGUGUACCCUUCAUGAAGAGCAUUACAGGUGAGGAAUUCAGUAGAUUCUUUAAACAGUCUUCAAGACUAACUUUCUGGUGUAUCCCCUUCUCAGUUAGAACCUUCCUAAACUCACCGCUCUUUUGCAUCUCCAGUACAAUGUCUGAUCCACCAAUAAGUUCACCCUUUAUGUACAGCUGUGGAUAACUAGACCAGUUGGAAUAAACUUUCAGUCCUUGACGGACUUCAUCAUCAGAAAGAAUGUCAAAAGUCUCAAACUCCACUUUCUCCUGUUUGAGAAUAUCCACCACCUUUCUGCUGAAUCCACACCGGGGUUCAUCAACUGUUCCUUUCAUAAACAGCAUAACUGGGCUAGAGUUUAUCAGACCUGCAAGACGAGUAGUCAAGGCAGUACUCAAGCCAGAUUGUUCAGAGAUGCCACCCUUCCCACCCGCAGUUUUAUUCGGUUUAGUUUCAAGAGAAUCAGAGACCCCAACCCCGUGAUCCUUGAAAACAUCUGUAAGUUCACCACUCUCAUGCAUAGUUAUAACAAUAUCACAACCACCAAGAAGUUCACCCUUGCAGUACAGUUGAGGAUAUGUUGGCCAAUUGGAAAAUUUCUUCAGACCCUCACGGACCUCACUGUCCAUCAGAAUAUCAAAACUUCCAAAUUUGACCUUCUCUUUCUUCAAGAUAUCAACGACUUUCUGACUAAAACCACACUUGGGUUCUUCUGGGGUCCCUUUCAUGAAAAGCAAUACUGGAUGAGAAGAAACCAGCUGCUGAAGUCGCUUUGUUAGCCGAUCAUCAAGACCAGAACUUGACACUUGAGGGGCACCGUUUUCUCUAGACAACUCCUGAAUUGCUUCAAGAACAGAGGGACCUGCAGCCAUUCCUAGGCUAGCAGGAGCGGCAGGAUCCCCAGGAGUGAUUGACCCAGCAAUUUUUGCAACCUUGUUAGCCAAACUAGAUGGAUCGGCCCCUUCCAAUGUAUCAACAGCUUUCCCUUCCUAAAAUAAGUAAAGCAAUAGCACAUUAUAGAUGGCAUGACAUGCAAAACGUAGGUUCAAAUCAGAGGUAAUUGUUCAAAUGUCACAAACAAUUACAGAUGGAAGUGAUUACUGCUACCACUUAUGAGAUGAACCUAACAAAUUUUCUAAUCAAAUUCACACAAUUAGUGAAUACCUUCACUUAAUUUUUGAAGAAUGUUAUCUUGGAUUUUUGUGAGGCAAUAUCAUAUUUGUUAGGCUAAUACAAAUGAAUUUAAUGUUUCUUUAUCUUGCAAACAGAUGUUCACCUUUUCAAAAUAAUUAGCUACAAAUAUCUGUCCCAUUUUCAGAGAAGUUAGUGACUCAAAAAUUUGAAAUGCCACAUUGAUGAUUUAUCUACUGCAUAAGCCUUACUCUGAGACUUGCAUAGAGCCACCUAAAGAUAAUGGCAAAGAGACAGACAGUGGAAUCUCCAAAAGACAAGUGAUUAGGGAAAACAACAUCUAGCAAUCAACGUAAUUACCCCCUGAUGAUGUGAUGUUUAACAGAAGACUAAAAUUUGCAAAUACCAAGUACUGGUCUAGCAUAGAAGAACUACGGAAAUGAAGAAGAGAGAGUAAGAUUGUUUCUGGACUUCUAUAUCCGACUGCACUCAUAGAGUUCACUGAAGAUUUACCAACUUAAGGAUGCUUUCAGUAGAAAGUACAUGAUUUUAACGAGAAAGAUAGCCGGUGUUGACAAUUUGUAAAGCUUAUACAGUAAGAGAGGUCGCAUACUUCCCAUUGCCCUUCACUUAAUUGCCACCAAAUAGUAGUGACAUCACAUGAACGCCUAAAGAUGCAUAUGGUUUUCAAAGAUUACGAGCACAAGAAUGACAUGUCAUUGGCAGAGCACAUUCAAGCAUAGUCUCUACAGAAAUAAAUGAAGAAAUGAGAGACAGUUUUAUAUUCAAGUACUAUCUGGAGAACAAAAAGGAACUCUGAAAAAUUAGUAGAAUUUUAUUUUUUUAAGUGGUUAGGUUAUUAAGGAUCUUCUGAAUAUAUUGUUAUUCUGAAGACAUACAUUUUCAAUGUAAAAAGUCUCCUCUAAGUAGGUAGACUGUUCUUUAUAAAUAAAUUAAAAAGAAAAUCAUUAGGUUAAUAAUGUAAUAAAAAGGUUGAAACAGAAUCCUCAUUUCAAUACUUUAUUUGUUGGCAAAACACAAAUAAAUUCAUUGAGUUAAUCGCUUAUAAAACUAUGGAACUGAGCAGAUAAGUAGCAGUAAUAUCAUCAUGACUCUCAAUGCCACGUCCAGUAGCUAUACAAAACAAAACAUCACAAGUGAUGAGUCCUGAACAAAGCUGGGGGGGUCUUUAGGAUAACUGGUGCAUGAGCUGAGGAUUACUUCUGCUACUGACACUCCAAAACAGUAAGGUCACAGAAUAGCUAAGAGGGAGUUGGAAGCGAACUGAGCGAAAUGCAGGUAGAAGUCGCACAAGAAGAGGGUGAGAAACUCAUUCCCCAUCUAUUCAGAAGCAAAUAAAGGUUUACAAACAGAAACAGUCAUAGACAAGGAAAGCAAAUUCCCAGGUUAGAUACCUUGAAGAAGACAAAGUAAGGUACAGCAGAAACAGAGUGCAGCUCAGAUAUCUCAGGCUGUUCUUCAGCUUCAACCUGAAAUACAAAGACAGAAGCAAAAUAAUCACCAUCAGAGAUGAGCUGAAACAUCAGAAUGAGUGAAUGACUAAUGAGCAUAUUCCAGUAGCACCUAGACAUAAUUCAUUAAGGAAUUCAGUUUACAGUGGCAUCAACCACUAUAGAAGAAAAGUUCAUUCCCAAUUCACUAUACUAGAACAAGCAACUAUUCGAGUGUCCUGUGUUCUCCACUUCUCUGCUUGCAGGAAGUAAAAUUUGUAGAUUCUAUUCAAGCAGACAAAUCAAUGUAAGACCGCAGAAAAUCAAGAGAGGAACAAUAUAGCUAGGCAACCACAAGAACAUAUCUGUCUGUGUGUGCCCCUUCAGGGAGACAAGUUCUUAGUUAAAAGCUUUUUCCUUAUCUUUUCUGUGUCUAUUUGAGUUAUCACGGGCGUUCAUUUUCUCAACUUGCUUAAAAAAUUGAACUACCAAAUUGAGGUAAGAGUUAAGACUGAAGAAAAUUAACAGAGCAAUAACUAUCUCCACCCUCCCCAAAAAAACUUGGUACUACAAAGUCCUCAUAUUUAUAUAACAUAGCUGGGUAACCACAAGAACUCAUAUACUCAGUGCAUCCAUUCAGGGAAAUAAAUUCAUAGUUAUUCUUCUAUCCCAAUUUAUGUGACACGCUUUCUAUUCCAGUCUGUCCCAAAAAGAAUGUCACCUUUCUAUAAUCAGGAAAAAUUCACUUCAAAAUUUCCUCUUUUACCCUUAAAAUGAAUUGAUUUAUAGCCACACAAAAGACUAAGGUCUGUUUUAAACCACAAUGUUAAAAGUCUUCCUUUCUUACUUUAAACUUUGUGCAAGUCAAAUGGUACCACAUAAAUUGGAACAAAGAAGUACUUGUUUUUCCCUAACUUUUUGUGUUUAUUUGAGUAAAUAAUGCAUGUUCAUUUCCUCAAACUGCUUUUAUUUCUUCAACAUCUACCAAAGAAUGUGACAAUGAGCUUAUAAGAGGUAAUAAUAGUUGCCUAAUAGAGCAAAGCUUAUUUCUAUUAGUACCAAGUUUGACCCAAAAACUUUUAACAGUAGCACCCUAAAAUUUCACCAAAGUUAGCCUAUUGUAUAGAAGAUUGAGUGUCAUUAAUGGAGAACCAUAUUUUGGUAUAGAUUAUCUAUAUCUUGGCAUACUGCUCGUACACAAGUGCUUUCCCGAAUUAAUAAAAUUAUAUAUCUUAUCAAAACAAUUGUUUACUACAAACCAAGACUUACUGUGCAAAAGGAGAAAUCUCAUUGUCACUACAAGAAUGAUCUACAUUCACUACAGAACCAUAAACCAUUUAAAGCAUAUCUUCCCAAAACAAACAUUAAAAAAAAAACACUCCAAACAGAAACAAUAUGUCCAAAACCCUUUAAAGCAUAUCUUUCAAUAGCACAUCACAAAGCUUUGUAGUUCGUCCAAAAUCUUAUGAACUGCCAUUUUUACUAAUGAAGGUGGUACCAGGUACUGGCUUGCACACAUUUGACUAAUCUACCAAUGGUAAACCUGCUCACCAAGGCUAAACACCCUGGUGUUAUAACCCAAAUUCAAACCAAUAAUCUCCAAGUUGUCACUCCUAUGCCUAAACCACUGGACUGUAUUGAUAUCGAUAUAAAGAAUUAAAAUAUAUAUACUUUCUGAGUUUUAUUACAUGUGAAAACUGAAUAAUGAACAACAAAACCCUAAACCCUCAAAGCACAGCAAUAAAAAACAAACCCAGAGAACCCCCUCCAAACAAAAGAGCAUAUCAAACAGAAAAUAGCAAUCCAACAAUUCAUUCAAAAUUCCAUAAGCCACAUCAAAAACCAUUCAAUAAAAUACCAGAACUCAACCAAUAAAUUAAAAAGAUAUAAACUUGGUCCAUCUCCAAUAAAGUUUCACAAAAGAAGUGUACAAAAACUCUUAACCCUUCACACCUUAGUUAAAGGGGAACAAAAACUAAACAACCCCCAACAAGAACAUAUCAAGCAGAAAAUCAAUCAAUAACGCAUCAAUAUAUUUCAAGAUCAUUCAAAAUUCCAUAACCUAUCUUAUUUUACCUUUCUCAGUAAGAAAUAUAACAGCGCCAGUCAUAUAACCAAAAAUAAAACCAGAAAUCGAUCGAUAAAUUAAAAAAGAUACAAUCUUUUUGGGCUUCUCUUCCAUAUAUGCACAAAGUGAGAAGAUUUUGCUUACUCUUAGAAAAUGGGCAUGUGGGAAAUCAGUAGAAAGAUGCGAAAAGACUUGGUCCAUGUGCUUAGAAGCUUCACACCAUGAUGCCCAAAAGUGCAAAAUCGCCGGUGAUCCGUCGGCGACAAUCUUAUCAAGCUCCGCCUUCGAUUGAACUUCCUUCACUGAUCCUCCUCCGCCCAUUCUCGAUUCUUUCAGAUUCUCUAUUUCUCAAUGAGAAGUGAAGUAAAUACCCUCAAAGAACAAUACGAAAUUUCUCCUCUUUUAUGCUGUUUUAUAUAAAAGCCUACUUCUUUUUCCCUUUUCUUUCAUAUAUAUAUAUUUUUAAAAAAUCUUAAAUUCUUCAAAUUUUAAAUUGUGAUUUAGUCCUUUUUUUUUUUAAAUAAUAAAGUUGAAUUAUAAGUUUAAUAAAUAAUAAUAAAAACUAUUAUUUUAAAUUUUAUAGAAUCGAUUAAUGUUCAAUACGAAGAGAUUGUUCCUAGUUUAGUUAGUAUUAUCGUCAAUUAGUUGAUUUUUGUAAAAAUAUAUGUAAAACAUAAGUUUGUAGUCAUAACAAGUAAAUGCAAGUAUUUAUUUAUCAAAUAUGAGUUUACUUAUUUGGUAAAAUUGUAUAAAAAUUGAGAAAAUUUUGCUAAUUUCACAAAUUAUAGGACUUAUAUAUUUAUGAGGGAAAAUAUAAUUUAAAAGUUAAAUGUCUAACAAAAUUGUAAUUUUAAAUCAACAUAUUUGAAAUUUUAAUUUCGUAUCAUAAUUUAAAUUAUUAAUUAAUCAUAUCAUAUAUUUAUAUAAAAGAGAAUUCUAGGCCCGUCUACGUAGCGUCACGGUGAAAUUUAUUUAUUUUCAAAAUUAGUCUUCAUUUUUCAUGAAAAGUUGCGACUUUAAAUAAGAGUUGUGACUUUUAUCUUUUAUGACGACAUUAAUAAAGAGUUGCGAUUUUUAUCAAAAGUUAUAACUUUUAUGAUAAGCUGCGACUUUAAUUAAGAGUUGCGAUUUUUAUGAAAAGUUGGGACUUUAAUAAAGAGUUGGGACUUUUACUAAAGGUUGUGAACUUUCCGAAGGAUUGUAACUUUUUUUAAUAAUUAUGACCUUUUUGAUAAAACACAAUAAAGAUUUGUUCACACUAUCCUUUGUUGUCUAUAAAUAAUGAGAUUCUCUCUGAUUUAAAAACAACAAAAGUUCUGAUCUUCUUCUUUUUCUUCUAAUUCCUCAAAUUUUAAUAUUUGUAAACUUUGCUCCUGUGGAGUGACUUACUAACACACACUGCUUUUGUAUCAAUAAGUUGAUGAAUAAGACCGUUCCAUCCUAAGUGGAUGUAAUUUUGUAAGCCUCUGGGAUUGGAGGGGAAUAGUUUUCUUAAGGGAACAUUGUGCAUUCACCGGAUUCGAUUUUUUCCUUUCUAUUUCCAUUUUGUUUUUACAUAUCCUGGUAUGUUUUUUUACAUUCAUUAUGCUUAUGAUAUAAAUUAUUAUUUUUGAGUACAUGUUUUAAACUCUAUUGUUUAUGUUUCUGCAAAUUAAUUAUCUCCGAUUAUAUUGAACAUAUACACAUAUAUUACGGAUAUUCAUUAUGCAUAAUAAUUAUACUCAGUUCCAAAAAUUCAUGUUUUGAUAUUCUAUUAAAUUCAAUGACUUACAUGUACUAUAUAAGAUUACAUAUUAUUUAUUUUUACAUAGAUAGGAAAUUUUUCGCUUAUCAGUUGAAGAAAUUCAUUAUGCAUAUUCAAAAGUUAUAAUUGCUUUCAUGUUCAAGAGUAAUUUUUUUUUGAAGAUGUUAACAAUUUUUUUAAUUUUCUUCUAAUGCAUAUCUCACAUUUGUAUAAUUUAUGCAACUUAAACGUUUCUUUUUAUUACGAAAUUUCUUUGAAUAUAUAUUCUUAUUUACUUCUUUAUUUUACUUUUUGAUUAAAGAAUCAAUGAUUUAUUAUUUCGUCAGUAGUUCAUUUAUUAGAGAUUCUUGAGUUAUGUGAUAAUGUCGAAUAAUCAAAUUCAUGUUAAAAUAUUGCUAAUAUUUUUAAGAACCUACUUUGAUAUUAUUUUUGAUGUGUGAAUAUUAGAAAAAAAUAUUACAAAUUUAAUGCAAUUAAUAUUUUAUAACUGUGCGAAGUGCGAGAAAAUUACCUAGUUUAAUAUAAUAAUUUAAAAUCACGUCCAUGAUCUUAAAAGGGGUAUUCUAAAAUCAAUUUUCUAAGAUGCACUAAAUAACAGUUUAUAACGGCAUUACAAUUUUAAUGCUACAAAUAAAAUAUAAAAUACUCUUUCUUUUUUGCCUUCAUGUAAAAUUAAAAAAAGAGAUAUUGUUGGAAGUUAUUAAAGCAAUUUCAUCACUAAUAAUAAUGCCCAUCAUCUUGUGAACUCAACUAGUUGUCUUACUGUGAAAUUAGGUCUUAUAUCUAACUCACACUCUAAAAGCUAACUCAAAGGAUUGUCCAAGCAUUAUAAAAGGUUCACCUCUCAUUACACCGAUUUAAAUUUUUUUCAUUCUUUAACACCCCACCUCACGCCCAGUGCUUAGCGUUUGGUGCGUGGAAAAUUUUGAUUUUGGAGGGUCCCAACAUCGGGUGAGAUGUGCCCCGAUGUUGGAUCCCCCAAAAUCAAAAUUGCUCAUACACCAGACGCUAAGCACUGGAGUGUUAAAGAAUGACAAAAAAUUUCCACAUCGGUGAUUAAUGAGAUGAGUGAAUCCUUUAUAAGGCUUGAACAAUCCUCCUCUCUUUGAGCUAGCUUUUAGGGGAAGUCAUAUGCAUCGAUGUUAAGAAAUCGUUGUGUCCUAAAAUUUAAGUAGAAUAAUAUAUUAUAUUAUAUACUCUCUGUCCUUCUUUAAUUGUCCAUAUUUCUUUUUUAGUUGUCCCUAUUUACUUGUUCAUUUUGACAAAUCACGAAUGAAUUAAAAAAAAAAUCUUAUAAUACAUUCAUUUAAACUUCUUGAAAAUUUCUAAGUUUUAAUUCAUGUCAUUAUAACUUCAUUAUGCUAAUUAUUGUUAUCUUAAUAUGCUCGUCAUUUUUAAAGUGGAUAACUAAAUAGGGACGUAAGACGUAUUCCGAUACAUGAGAUGUGUUUGUCUAUCCCAUCUAAAUAACCAAAUGGCCUAAGUAGUUCAGAUACAAUGAACUUCAACUGGACUAUGUACUACAUAAGGUAAAAAAAACAAGUUGUUUAACCAUUCGAUAUGAGAAUUCCAUGCAUUGACACGAGACUUACAAAUCUUUUAUUGGUGCAAUAUGUGUAGGUUCAAUUUUUAUUAUUCUUUUACCCUUUCCAUUUCUUGAUCUCCAUAGUAAAAUAAUUCAUUUUUUUUAAAAAAAUUCCAAAUAAUGCAAUUCCCACAAACUGUAACUGAGGUGAGACAAAAUUUUGUUUUCCUCACACCAAGUUCAUGUUUCCAACAAAUUAAUACAUGCAACCUUAAAUGUUGCCUCAGAUUUGCCUUUUUUCUGGAAAAGCUCCAAUUGUGUUAGGAACUUGUGGCCUAUAUAUACUCUUGUGUUGUAAUAGUAGUAUAGCAUCAUCAAUAAUCAAAUCAAAGUCUUUUUCUUAAAUAAACUUAGCUAAAAUGGCAGCUCCAACAUGUUUGAACAUUUGUUUUAUGGUUUUGCUAAGCUUAGCAAUAUGCUCUGCCCAGCCUAUUGAAGUUGAUCAUCAUCACAACCACAAAGCUCACGCUUUAAGUAAUAUCGGAGGAGGCAGUGAUGGCGGAUUAGGCAUUGGUGGUGGUGGAGGUGGAUUUGGCAUUGGCUUUGGUGUUGGUGUUGGCGUUGGUGGUGGAAGAUUUGGGUUUGGCAUUGGUGGAGGUGUCCCUGGUUAUAUACCUGGCUUUGAUUUCCCAGUCUAUUCCCCUGAUUGUGGUUAUGUGUGUCUUGUUAAUAAUCCUAGUGGAGAAGUCACAGAAUUCAAAAUCUCAGGAUUAUCACACUUCACCAAACCAUACAGAUGCAGGCCAGGGCCAAACAAGCGCGGAGACAAAGAUUUUAACCAUGAACUUCUUCUAAACUUUGUUUCCACAAUGCAGGACAAACAACAACAUCUCAGUGGAGAUGUAGGUCACCAUGUAGGGGGAGCUAGACGUUUAGGAUUUGGUCGUGGAAGUAGCAGAGGAACAGGUGGUUUUGAUACCUCUGAUCAGUAUGCUACUGAGGACCCCGGUUGGAGUAUUGAGGGCUGUGGUUAUGUAUGUCCAGGCAACAGUCCUGGUGGAGGAAUCACUGAAUUCCAUAUCUCAGGAAUAUCACAUUUCAGUGAACCUUACAGAUGUAGCCCAGAUGUAUGUGACACUGAAGAAUGUGGUGAGUUUCUUCUACGCUUUGUUUCUCCAAUGCAUAACAAACACGAGAACCAACAUGGUCAUCAGUCAGAGCAGCAAGACAAGCAUGAGAACAAACACGGUCAUCAGUUAGACCAGCACGACAAACAUGAGAACCAACAUGGUCAUCAGUCAGAGAAGCAAGAGGAAGAUAUCACAAACAAUAUCCCCGACCCAUCCACACCCCAAUCCUGAAUCCAAGAAAAAGAAACUUAAUAUGUAAUAAUAUUAUGUAGCUUCAGCCAAAAAACAGUAUAUACUGUCUAAGAAGCUAACUAUUUACAAGGAACUUAAUAAAACUUGUUUUAGUUGAAUUGAUUUGAUCACACUAAAAGAAUCUCUGUCUAUUGAGAAAUGAAUAAGCAAGCAAAACAAUUUGCCCGUAUCCAAAGGGAUCCACCAAAUCAUGCUAUUGUAGUGCAAAAGAGAUCUAAAAUGGCUUCUGUUCAUCAAACUCGGGUUUUCUACCAAGCCCGAGGUAAGAUGGGCUAAUAUUGGCCAUGGUGGGUUCUUAUACUGAAAAAAGAGAACAUCCUAGUUAUAGUUGCUUAAUGCAACCUCCAAAAACCAAAACAAAUGUAAGACAACAUUUUGUUAUUUUCUCCUCCAAAUAGACUUCAUGUCGCAACCCGCUGUAUUCAUAUGCUCAAGCCAACUAGACCUAUGAGCCUAAUAAUAUUAUGCGACUCUCAUCAUGUUUUACUUCACUGAUUCUGUCAACAAUAACAGAAGGAGAAACCUAAGCACACUGUUUGUUUCAAAAACCAUGAAUGGAGCCACAAGAUUAUUAGGUAACUGAACAUGUUUAGUAAGAAACAGUCGAUUGAUGAUGGAAAUAUUAUUAUUGCAGCAACAUAUGAUUUCAGAUUAUUUAACAAGAUUGCCACAAAGUAGCAUACCGUUUGUGAUUUAACAUUAUUACAAUCAUGACUCAACUUGGGAAGAUCGUCAAAGUUUCAAAUCUUCCGUUUCAUUCAACCGUAGUAGCACCAGCCCAAUUCGCAGCACUUCCCCUGCGCGGAAUGCUGUGGAGUUUGGUGUACAAGUCCACCUGGAAAAUCACAGCAUUGACAUUUCCUUCAUCAUCUUCACGCGCAAUUCCUUUUACUUUGUGCAUUGGAUGAUCAAAGCUUAUUAGCCCAGUGUCACUUAUGAAGAUACAACCUGUACAAUCAGCUUUAACACAUUGAAUUCCGCUGGAUCUCCAAAAACAUCAGAUUAAACUUAAAGAGGAUUUGAUUAAGAAACCUGGAGGAAACGGGGUAUACAAUUUCCCACAAGAAGCUUGAAUGAACUCUGAAUCAUCAGAACAUACUAAUGAUCCAUCUGUAGCAGUUCCCCAGUGUAACGGCACACUUCCAUCGCGAUCCUAUACAUUGUUUGGAGAUACAUCAAGUUUAUUCUGAUAAAGGAGCUAGUUAUGUUACAUAUACUGAUCAUAACAUUCAGAUUCUUUUCCACUAUCAAUAUAGUAUAACGUGUGAUAGUACGUUAGAGAAUCGUCUAUAAGUAACUUUAUCACUCACCCUAGCAAGAAAAAGAGUGGAGGCUUUAUAGUCAAAGAGAAUGAAAGCAAAUUUGCCUUCAAGUUCUUUGAUGACUUGAUCAGGAGGGUAUGGCGCCCGAUCCCUUAAAACUUUGUAAGCCUCAACCAUUAUCAUAGCUUCUGUAGCUUGUCUUGAAAGACCAUAAUAUUUCCUCAAAUCAAAAGUGUUGUCUAAACCACCAGAAAAGAUGCAGAAUAUGUCAUCCAUCACCACAAUAGACCUAUAUAUGUUACACAAAACAAAACAAGCUCCUUUAGUCAGUCACCUUGUUUAUUGCCUCUAGUCUUGAAAUAUAACAAAAAUCCCCCCUUUAUGUAUACACUCAUCAUCAAUGUACAACAACACAAAUCCAAGCACAAACAAGAAAAAACACAUUAUCAUUUUAUAAAAGAAACAAAUUAGUUUCAGAACAAAACUUUAAUACCUUGGAUGGAAAGGGUUUUCAUUUCCAUGAGAAAAAGCCAUGAAAUUCCCAUUUGAAAGGUGGUAAAAAGUUGAGUCUGGCUUCCAUGAUUUGAAACUUUCUUCAAUCU
rnacentral:lncRNA from 1 species